CGAACUUGUAGAGUGUGCUCCCCGCUGAUAGCGGCACAAUCUCAGCAUGGAAGCGGGUGGCGCGCCUAUUCUUAAUCCUGGUGGCGAGUGGCGACGGGUGGGUAACGCGUAGGAAUCUGCCUGGUAGUGGGGGACAACUUGGGAAACUCAAGCUAAUACCGCAUACGCCCUACGGGGGAAAGCGGAGGAUCUCGGACUUCGCGCUAUCAGAUGAGCCUGCGUAGGAUUAGCUUGGGGGUGGGUAAAGGCUCACCAAGGCGACGAUCCUUAGCUGGUCUGAGAGGAUGAUAGCCACACUGGGACUGAGACACCGCCCAGACUCCUACGGGAGGCAGGAGGGGGAAUAUUGGACAAUGGGCGACAGCCUGAUCCACCAAUGCCGCGUGUUGAAAAAGGCCUG
rnacentral:rRNA from 1 species